CACGGCAAAGGGGGGCCUUGUGCUGCUGAGACUGAAACCAAGAAUUAGAUAACCUGUUAGUUUGUGACUUACGUUGCAGGUGUGUUGUAAGGGUUGUGGUACAAAAUAAAGUUGUUUGGUUGAGUAAUCUAUAUGAACUCUCAAUCAUAGACUCUUCUUAAGCUUGUUCUCGUGUUCUCUGUAAUGUACGCAUUGGAAUGUGUUCUCUUGUUAUGUGAUAAAAUGUGAUUUAACUUGCUCAAUACAUAUUAUGUCAAAAAUGUUUAGUAUGGCUUGGCUCCUUAAAAUUGAGAGGGAGCACAUCCUCACAACAAACGAGAUUUUGGCACUAGUUAAACUUCACAAAAAUUAAAUUUAAAAAAAAAAAAAAAAAAAGAUUAAAAGAACUCAGAAGAAAAAAAAUUAAAGGAAUUUGCCAAGUGUCAAACCUCUAUUUGUUUUGAGGAGGAACUGCUCCUCAGUUUUAUGGAGCCAAACCUUUUCCUAAUAUUAAUGGAGUUCAUGUAUGACUCAUUUGUUUUGUGUGAUCACCAUUUGGUUAAUGAAUUGUGCGCAAAAUUUAAUAGGAUACGGAUCAUCUGCUAUGAUUUUAGUCCCCUAAUAGAAUGGAUCCUACUUUGGAGCACAUGUGGUAUCGGUAGUUCCUACUCGCACUCACAAAUACAUAUUGGUUGGUCCAUUAAAAUGCAAAUAUCACCUCUCAUAUCAUUAUGCGAACAUUGGGAACAAGAGUAGUGUUUCCACCGUUGACAAGGGAUGGAAGAUCUAGCUCGACGGAAAAAUAAGGAGUAAAACUUAUAGAAGCAUGCAUGCCGUGUAUGUAUUGUUGUUAUCAUGGAUACUAAUUUGGCAAUUAAUUUUCUAAUGGGUGAAUUAAAAAAACAUUUUUAAUCUAUAUAUGUAAAGUUAAAUAUCCUUUCUUGAUGAACAAUUUGUAAUUGCAUCUCUGUAAUUUUUAUGGGUUUGUGUUCUUGGUGGUUGACUAGUCAUUGUAUGAAUGUUGAAUAUGAGUAAGGUUCAUGGAGACAAAAUUGGUUUUGGUUAUGGUUGUUCUAGUUUAUGCGUUCCUCCUUCUUUGACCACAUUUGUCAAGGAGUCAAAUAAAAAAUUUGAUGUUUUAGAGCCAACUAGGACUCAAAGAUUCAUUCCUACUUGUCACCAUUGUGGUGUGAAAGGUCACAUCCAACCUAGGUGUAAUGCUCUAAGGAAUGUGUCUAGAGCAACCAAUGCAAAUGGCUUUAAGAACCAUGUUUCAUCUCUUAAAACAUGUGAGCUUGCAAAAUCUGUUCUUUGUAAAAGGGAUAAACCAAAAAGGUUCAUUCCUACUUGCCAUCAUUGUGGCACAUUGGGACACAUAAGAUCAAAGUAUUUUGAGUUUAGGAAUUUUGAGAAAAAGUCUUUUGUUCAUUUCAAGAAAGUAAAUGAUGACUCACUUCAAGUUGAAGCCAUGGCAGAGGCAUGAGAGGCGAGAAAGACUAUGUACUUUUAUAGUGUUAUCCCCGACUAAUAACACCAUAACAUUCGUGAUAAUAUUUUAAUGUGGAAUAAUAUUAUUGAUCGAAUAUAACAAAAUAGUACUAUCCCCGUUGCGACUACGUUUUUAUCCGUGGACUGCUAGGCUUACCUAGUCUUUAAAAUGCAGUUGAAGAAUUUAUUAUUAUGAAAAUGACGUGAGAGAGGGAGGGGGUCAUAUAUUUUCAGAAUAAUUUUGCUAAAAAACGAAAGCAGAAGAAUUAAUUAUUAUGAAAAUGACGUGUAAUAAAACCACAGGUUGUGUGACAUUGCCGUACAUGCAGUCGGUGAGUCCACAGACGAACAUGCAUUUGUUUUGAGUCACAUUAAUUAAGCAGUGAAUGGGGGCACUAGUUGUCCAUCUUUAUAUGACCCAAUGACUUAAGAUAUCUAUAUAUAUGCAUACGGACUUUAAAAAGUAGAAGCAAUACAGCCUUAGAAAGGCAGUGCGUGCAUGGAAAAAGAUUAUUAGGUAACGAUAUAAAUUUACGGUACCUAAUACAUUAGCGCUAAUUGAUAAUUUUUUGAUACUCUAAUAAUAAUAUUGACAAUUAGUGUCGAAAUAUCAGGUACGAUAAGUGUCGAAUUGAGAAUAUAUUAGGUACGAUAAAUUGAUAUUAAGUAUUUCGUCGGUAGUUGGUAGGUACUUAGUAGCUAUCAAGUAAAUAUUAUAUGAGAUACGAAGAUCAACAUGAAUUAUAUCUUUGUAAUUUAGUAGCUAUGCUUGUAUCUGGUCCUGAUUUGCAUAUCUAUUAUUAGGUAAAAUACUUUGAAAUUAUUGAACUUUAAACAUUUUCAUUAAUCAAAGGGCUAUUAAGAACCCAAAGGCAAAUAUAAUGGUUUACGUGGGUGGGUAUGGAACUUGUGUGUAUUCUUUGACCUUGUCAAUCUUAUUAAUGAGUGUUGGUUGGUGGGGUCCCGAUUUGCAUAUCAAUUAUUAGGUAAAUUACUUUGAAAAAGCACAAAUCGUCAAAGUUUGUGGACAUGAGGGAUAGAUACUGUGGCUGGAUUGUCAACAAUGACAGAGUGAACGACUUUUCUUCAUGGUGUGCUUUAGCUACAUCUUCUAUCCUUCUGCGUUGGUCACAUUCAUGUAAUCUUGUACAUGAAGCAACUUACCACAAAGGCUACCAAAACUUUAAUAACUAUAGGUCCUACUACCUGUGCAUUUUUACUUGACUAAUACAAUUAGUGUAAAUGUCCUUUUACUAUAUAAUUAGGUAUAUCCAUACAAAAUAAAUCUUUAAUCUUGAACAUAUUUAUACAUGAUAUACGGAUUCUAUGACUCACAAAGAAAACCUACCAUACAUUUGUGUUUAUGUUUAAUCUCAUUUUCUCUUUUGUAAUUCCAUCUACUUUUCAUAAGAAUUUGUUUGAACCAAUUUAUAUAUAAAAACUACCCUUGUUUUUAGAUGAUUAUUGUGGUAGGAUGAAAUCAACAAAAUAGACAAACACGGUAUUUCAAGAAAAGACUAUAAUAACAACUAUCUAAUUGAAUGAUCAAAUAGUUUCGGAUCCAAGUGAUUGUCGCAAAGAUGAUCUUUGAAGAAAUAUCUAAAAACUAAAUGGUAUCGGAUUAUUGGAAUGCAAGGUGAGUCUUAUAAGAGUGUCCUUCAAAUAAGCUUAUUUGAGAAAUCCCUCAACUAAAGUCAUAUCAGUCUCCUUCUAACAGUAUAUAUAUACACACCACACCUUUUGUGAAAAUCUAAAAAUACUAAAUUAGGAAUGAAAACUGACAGUUAAAGAACUCUCGUGAUCACUCUACAAGAUUGUGACCUGAAUGAUGAAUCAGCAGCUUAAGUUUCAGCCUGUUUGCCACAUACCUUGAAAGUAUCCCACCCAAUUAAUCACACAAAAACAACUUCUUUUGACUUGAUCACACAAGACAACUUAGCUAGCUUUUAUUGUCCCGCCUCUAAUAAAAGCUUACUUAAUACGUAGUCCCAUCAACCCUACCAUCAAAGUAGGGGUUGAAUUUGGCGCUCUUUAACCUUUAAUCACCACAAGAGUCACAAAUUCUUCUCUUCUCUCUCCUUAUCUUUCCAACCCCACUGAUAUCUCAUAAAGGUCUAUAAAUAGGGACAACCAAGCCAUAUUAUACUCACUCAUCAAUCAUCUCUUGCAUACUUUCAUAUAUACAUUAUCGUGCUUGUUGUUAAGCAAAACAUGGCAUCCUCAAAGGCUUUUCUUCUUCUUGGUCUUGUCUUUGUUGUUCUCCUCAUCUCCUCUGAGGUCUCAGCUACUCCAACUCGUGAGUUUCUCACUUUCUUAACUAAAUUAUAUAUAUUAAAUUAGUAAUUGUAUCUUUCUUUCCAGUAACGAUUUGUGAAUUUAGGCACAUUUUAAUUAAGGUGCACUGGUCGUGAAAAUGAUUAUGCUUUGAACUCUUUUUCUGCAUGUAGGGUUAGUGGUUGUUGCACUUGCAUGGCUUAAUUUGCACCUUAUUAAAUACAAACUGAUCCAUGAUUGUUAUAAGUUAUGUAUAUGUUUUUGCUUUAUAUAUAAAAUUUUUGUUUGUUCUCUCAGAGGAGAGUAUAGUCAACGGUGAUGGCCACGGACAUGGAGAGUAUGGCCAUGGACAUGGAGGUUAUGGACACGGACAUGGAGGGCAUAACCACGGACAUGGAGGGUAUGGCCAUGGACAUGGAGGGUAUGGCCACGGCCACCACGGCAAAGGGGGGCCGGGUGCUGCUGAGACUGAAAUCGAGAAUUAGAUAACCUAUUAGUUUCUGUGACUUACGUUGCAGGUGUGUUGUAAGGGUAGUAGUACGAAAUAAAGUUGUUUGGUUGAGUAAUCUAUAUGAAAUCUCAAUCAUAGACUCGUCUUAAGCUUGUUCUCGUGUUCUCUGUAAUGUACGCAUUGGAAUGUGUUCUCUUGUUAUGUGAUAAAAUGUGAUGUAACUUGCUCAAUACAUAUAUUAUGUAAAAAAAAUGUUUAGUAUGGCUUGGAUGCUUAAAAUUGAGGGGAAGCACAUCCUCACAACAAAUGAGAUUUUGACACUUGUUAAAAUAACUUUACUUUUUCCUAAUAUUAAUCGAGUUUAUAUAUGACUCAUUUGUUUUGUAUGAUCACAUUUGGUUAAUGAAUUGUACACCAAAUCUAAUAGAAUAUCGAUCCUCUGCUAUGAUUUUAGUCCUUUAAUAAGAUGAAUCGUAAUUUGGAGCACAUUUGGUAGUUCCUACUCUCACUCAAAAAUACAUAUUGGUUGGUCCAUUAAAAUGCAAAUAUCACCUCUCAUAUCAUUAUGCGAACAUUGGGAACAAGAGUAGUGUUUCCACCGUUGGCAAGGGAUUGGAAGAUCUAGCUUGAUGGAAAAAUAAGGAGUAAAACUUAAAGAAGCAUGCAUGCCGUGUAUGUAUUGACGAUACUAAUUUGGCAAUUUCUAGUGGGUGAAUUAAAAAAACAUUUUUAAUCUAUAUAUGUAAAGUAAAAUAUUGUUGUAGUUAAAUUUUAAAAUAAUUCAUUUAAGAAAUUUGUGGUCAAUUUGUGAUUGCAGAGGUUCAAGAGAUUUGUGGUCACUUACUGUUGGAUGUAAAUUUAACGGUUCACUUACUCUUGCACUCCUUUUAAGAAACUUUUUUGAACUAUUGAAUGUUACAUCCAAAGGUGGGUGAUCACAAUCUCUUAGACCCCUAUAAUCCAAGAGAUCGAAACUAUUAAUAAGAUAUACAAAUGCAUGAACUAAUUUAGUUAAAUUGAUAACUCGAGGACUAAAGUGGCGAAUGAGUUAAAACAAAAGAACCAUUUCAACAUUUAAACCGAAAAAAACAUUUUGAUUAUGUGGGCUGCUUUCGCAAGAGAUAAAUAAAACCUCUUUUUCUACGACCUAGUGAUUUAUAAUAAAAUAUUAUUUAUCUUACUAUUUCUAUUGCAUGCUGCCAUAAGCCUUAUAUUUUUAUAUUGUAAUAGAGGUGAAACGCGUCACUCAAUGACUUUCAGUAUGGGCAGUAGCAAAAAUAUUAGAAAUUAAUUUAUGCAUAUGCUCAGUGCUCAAAUUUAAGGGAUGAAGCCACGUGAAGAUUUUGUUAUAUAAAAACAAAAAGAAGCAAAAAAGAAAAAUGGAAGGCCACCCCACGUGAAAUGGUGAAGCAACGGCUACAAUUACAAAGCAAACCAUCAACAAAGAAAUAAAAAAAAAAAAGCAAAAGGAAGCAUCCAAUGCAAAUUAUAAAAAAAAAAGUAAUAGGAAACCGUGCGAAUGCCAGUCUUCAUUCUUAAUAGCUACCAUGCCAAGUAUAUCAAUUUACGGUGCCUAAUACAUAGGGGUGGCAAUUUCGGAUACGACCCGAUACACGACUCGAAACCCGCACGAGAAAUUAGCGGGUUCAACCCGCACGAUAAAAAAACGGGUCAAUUUCGGGUCAACCCGUUCUGACCCGUUUAAUAAACGGAUGGGUUUCGGGUCAACCCGCUAACCCGCUAUAAUACCUAUCUAACCCGUUUAUUAAACGGGUCGUGUCAACCUGUGUACAACCCGUCAACCCGUCUCUUCUCCUUUUUUUUUCCUUCUUUCUUCUCUUCUCUCUUUUUUUUUUUCCUCUCUUUUCCUUUCCUCUUCUCUCUUUUUUUCUUCUCCUCUCUUUUUUUUUUCCUCUCUUCAGUUUUUUUUUUUCCUUCUUUCUUCUCUUCUCUCUUUUUUUUUCCUCUCUUUUCCUUUCCUCUUCUCUCUUUUUUUUUUCCUCUCUUUUCCUUUCCUCUUCUCUCUUUUUUUUUUCCUUCUCUUCAGUUUUCUCUCAUCUCUCUUUUUUCUGUCUUACUUUCCUUCAAUCUUCUCUCCUAUCUCUCUCUCUCUCUCUCUCUCUCUCUCUCUCUCUCUCUCUCUCUCUAUUUUUUUCUUUCUUUAGCUUCUCUCUUCUCUCCUCUCUCUAUCUUUUUUUUUUCUUUCUUUUCCUUAUAUUUUCUCUACUCUCUCUGUUUUUUUUUAAUUAAAAUUUUUUCGGUUGUGAGUUUUGUAACAUGCAUGUUAUUCUUUAUGAACCCGUUACACGACUCGAAACCCGCACGAUAAAAGACGACCCGAACCCGACACGACACGUUUAUUAAAUAGGUUGGGUUCGGGUUGAGCAUUCUUGACACGUUUAUUAUCCCGACACGACACGAACCCGACACGACCCGACCCAUUGCCAGCCCUACUAAUACAUUAAUUAGCACUAAUCGAUAAUUUUUUGAUACUCUAAUGAUAAUAUCGAUAAUUAGGAGUGUAUCCAAUUCAAAUUUUUAAUCACUUUUAUAGAGUUUAAAAGUUUGAAUGUAUUCAAUUUAGAUUUUUAAAGAGUUUAUAAAAGUCUAAUGGUAUUCAAUUGUGACUUUUAAAAAGUAGUUAAAGUAGUUAAAAGUUUUGUGGUAUCCAAAAAGUUAAUUAUUUUAAAAAAAGCUUAUUAAAUGAAUGACUUUUCUAUAAAAGUAUUUGAGCUAAUUGUUAAGAGCAAAAGUCUUGUUAAUUUAUACUAGUGACUUUUAUAAGUAUUUAAGAAUUUUUCAACUCUAUAAAAAUUACUCAUUUAAAAAAAAUCUUUAUAAGUAUGAAUUGGAUACACUUAAUAUUGAAUUCAUAAUAUAUCAGGUAUUGUAAAUUUAUAUUCCGUAUCAGGCAGUAAGUAGCUAUAUAGCCAUAGUUUCGAGUAAAUAUUAUAUGAGCUUUGAAGAUAAUUAACAUUUAUUCUCUUUGUACUUUAGUAGUUGGGGUUGUAUCUGGUCCUGAUUUUGCAUAUCUAUUAUUUGAUAAAGUCACCUCUGAAAAAGCACAAAUCAUCAAAGUUUGUGGACAUGAGAGAGAGAGAUUACUGUGGCUGGAUUGUCAACAAAGUGUGAAUGGCUUUUCUUCGUGGUCCUUUGGCUUCAUCUUCUACCCUUCUGCGUUGGUCACAUUCAUGUAAUUUUAUAAAGGAAGCCACGUACCACAAAGGCUACCAAGGGCUGAGUUGGAAUCCCAUUCUAAGUAAGGAUUCUUAUGGUUUCAAAUGAUCUAGUUACAUGAGAACUAGGAAAGGAGAACUUUCCCUACUUUGAACCCGACUCUUUGAUAUUAAGAAUGCUGGUUUUAAGAAUGAGUGAUUGCCCUUCUCCAACCCUUAUUGCCCAACCUAAAAGCAGACAGCUAAUGCAAUCCACUUAUUAAUAACUAUUGUAGAUUGAUCUAUAUUAAAUUGACUUGUAUUAAUAUAACUUUAUACACAGUACUAGAUAAUAUGGUAGAGAGAUUCAGAAACUUUAAUAAUUGUGACCACAAAAGGAAACAGUAUAGGUCCUACCUGUGCAUUUUUUCCUGCCUAAACCCUAAACACCUUUUGUUUUUGUGAUCAUCUAAACAUGCUAAAUUAAGAAUGAAAAUUGACAGUUAAAGACUCUCACGAUCACUCUACAAUACUGUGACCUGAAUGCUGAAUCAGCAACUUAAGUUUUAGCCCAUUUGCCACAUACCUCGAAAAUAUCCCAUCCAAUUUCAUGCAACUAAUCACACAAAAAAUAACUUCUUUUGACUUGAUCAAAAAAGACAGCUUAGGGCCCGUUUGAAAACCAUUUCAAUUUUAGUUUUUAGUUUUUUUUUUUUGUUAGAGUAUACAGGAAAAAGAAGGAGAAUGAAAUUGAGUGAAGAUGAGAUUGAGAGAGAAGAUGAAAAGAGAGGAUAAGAGGAAGGAGUGACAAAAGUGAAAACAAAAACUAAAAACUGAAAUAUAUUUGAAAUUGUUUUCACUUUUGUUCCUCCUCCCUCCCAUAUCCUCCCUUCUCAUCAUCUCCCUCAUCUCAAUCCUCACUCCCACUCUCAUUUUUCUCUAACAUUCUAGCACAAAAAAUGAAAACCAAAAACAAAAAUUGAAAUGUUUAUCAAAUAGCCCUUACCUUUCGCGUUCCCACCUUUAAGAGAUGCUUACUUAAUACGUAGUCCAUCUAAAGCAGAAAAAAAAAGCAUUGCUUGGUAAAGUCCAAAACCAAAAGAUUAAAAAUAGGGGUUGGGUUUGGCACUUUAUCCUUUAAUCGUACUUAUCUUCUGAUUUGAAAAAAAAAUCACAAAUUCUUCUUUUCUCUCUCCUUAUCUUUCCAACCCCACUGAUAUCUCAUAAAGGUCUAUAAAUAGGGAGAACCAAGCCACAUUAUACUCACUCAGCAAUCAUCUCUUGCAUACUUUCAUAUAUACAUUAUCGUGCUUGUUAAGCAAAACAUGGCAUCCUCAAAGGCUUUUCUUCUUCUUGGUCUUGUCUUUGCUGUUCUCCUCAUCUCCUCUGAGGUCUCAGCUACUCCAACUCGUGAGUUUCUCACUUUCUUAACUAAAUCAUAUAUAUUAAAUAGUAAUUGUAUCUUUCUUUCCAGUAACGAUUUGCGAGUUUAGGCUCAUUUUAAUUAAGGUGCACUGGUCGUGAAAAUGAUUAUGCUUCGAAUUUGUACUAGAUAUAUAUAGCAUUAGUGCUCUAAAAUAUAUUAAUUAUGAGAAUAUCUGGAUGUAAUUUACUCUUUCUGCAGGAAGGGCUAGUGGUUGUUGUACUUGCAUGGCUUAAUCUAUGAUGGUUAAGUGAUGUAUAUUUUAGAGACUAAUGCUAUUUGUAACACAUUUACUGACCAGAUUGCUGAUCACCUCUCUAAUAUAGAUGGGCCCCACAUAUACUGGUGAGGCCACCUCUAUUAGAGAGAUGGUCAGCAAUGUGGUUAGUAAAUGUGUUCCAAAUAGCAGCACUCUAUUUUUUUCUACAUAUUUUCUUGGGUGCUGAUUUUUCCACUCCUUUUUUGGUUUUUUAAUGCUUUUACUUUAACAUAUAAGGAAGUGUAAGUUGACAAAAUAUGAGUGGGAACAUACAAUUUCUAACAAAAGGAGUGUAAGUGGAUAAAAGAUAAGUGAUAAAAUCAGCUCUCUCUCUCUCUCUCUCUCUCUCUCUCUCUCUCUUUUUCUAUAUAUAUAAAGUUUUUGUUUGUUUUAUCAGAGGAGAGUACAGUCAACUAUGAUGACAAUUUUCUUGAUGAUCACGAGCAUGGGCAUGGGCAUGGACAUGACCAUAGGCACGUCCAUGGCCAUGGGCAUGACCACAGGCAUGGACGACAUGGCCAUGGCCACAAUGGCAAAGGGGGACCUGGUGCUGCUGAGACUGAAACCGAGAAUUAGAUAACCUGUUAGUUUCUGUAUUUAUGCUGCAGGUGUAUCGUAAGGGUAGUAGUAUGCAAUAAAGUUGUAAUGGUUUGAGUAAUAUCUAUAAACUCUCAAUCAUAGGUUCGCCUUAAGCUUGUUCUUGUGUUCUCUGUCAUGUACGGAUUGGAUCACCUUGUUAUGUACUAAAAUGUGAUUUAACUUGUUGAAUACAUAUUAUGUCAAAAAUGUCUAGUAUGGCUUGGCUACUUAAAAUUGAGGAGGACAUCCUCACAAUAAAUGAGAUUUUGAAACUUGUUAAACUUCAAAAGAAAAAAAGGUUAAGGGAAUUCCAAAGAAAAAAAAUUAAAGGAAUUUUCCAAGUUUCAAAAGUCUAUUUGUUUUGAAGACGAACUCCUCCUCAGUUUUAAGGAGUGUAAGUUUUUUCCUAAUAUUAAUGGAGUUUCAUAUAUGACUCAUUUGUUUUGUGUGAUGACCAUUUGGUUAAUGAGUUGAGCACCGAAUCUAAUGAAGUGAUUUACGAUUGAUUUUAUGUGAACAUUGGAGGCCAGAGUAGUGUUUCCCACCGUUGACAAGGGAUUGGAAGAUCGAGCUUGAUGGAAAAAUAAUAAGGAGCAAAACUUAUAGAAGCAUGCCAUGCAUGUAUUGUUGUUAUCAUGAUGAUACUAAUUUGGCAAUUUCUAGCUUGAUAAAAAAAAGAAGAAGAUAACUUAACAUCUACUCGUUUACCUAGGCAUUUCAAUACAUAUCUGUCUUCAUGUAAUGUUUACAUUUUUUAAAAGAGAAUGGGAAAAAUACAAGGAGAAGCCUCUAGGGCAUCUUAUAAAGGAAAAAAGAAUCCCAAACAAGCAUGAAAAACAUCUGCUGGGAGAGAAUAUAUCCAAACAUGUGUUUCCUAUGCCAUGGCCUUGAACCGCCAUUGCAUCUGCUAUAAAAUUAGCUUCUCGAAUAACAUGAUUAAAGAAAAUAUAUACUCAAAGGAGCAUGCCAAUCUUAGAAUAUUCUUCUGAUAGUGUGAAGGCAUCAAAAAAAUUCAGACUUGGCGUUUAUGGCAUCAAUAUAUUAGUGUCUGGAAAUCACCUUCAACUUCUAGUCUUCUCCUCUGUCUGCUGGCAACAAAGGAUAAACAAUCUUAGCAAUAAGCACACAAGUGUCUACAGUAUUUCGAGCUCAUGAAAAGAGAGGGUUCCCAUACAAAUAAUAAACCUCGACGGUCCCUGACUGGAUUUGAGCAACAAACCAUAAAAGUUGAGCAUAUAGCAAGUGGGGGAAGGUGGUUUCCAUUGACUGAGGCGAUGCUCCUGUCUAGCAUGGCGAGUCCCUUGGCCAAUGGCUCUAUAAAAAGCCACACCAACAUGUCUCGCAGUAUGUAUGACUUUGAUGAGCGGGUGGAGUUGGAGUUGCUUGAAAAUCCAUUUAUUUCUGCACAUCCCAAAGUUGUAAGAGAAGCCUAGAAUCCAAGCUAGCAAAUCUUUAGAAGGGUUUGGUCUCAAAUUAGAAGGGCAUGGUUCCAUACUUGAGAAGAAGAAGAAAGGCUGUUGUUUAUACCAUAGUCAACAGAUCUCAUUCGCUAAUGGACACGACACUGAAAACCACACAUGCCAAAGGCUUAACCAUCAUAAUCAACCGAAGUGUUAAGAUGAAGAGAAGAACAAAGAAAUGAAGAACAAGAAGAUGAAGCACAGAGAGAAUCUUAGGAGAAGAAUUAGAUUUUCUAUAUUUCGUUCAUCCCUACAAUAGCCUUAGCUAAUAUCUCACUUCUAUGACUCUCCUAACUGCCUUGUAACAAUACUUAACAGCUCACUAACAAACUUCAGGGCUGGCCCUGAUAUUUUUAAGGCCCAGGGCAACGUCGAAAAUAUACCCUAUUUAUGUAUAGCUCUACACAAGAAAGAUCAUUUUAUUUUAUUUGCACAUGUGUGUAUAUGAAACCUUUUAUAACCAUACAAAAAAUUUUAGGGCUCCGACAAAGUGUCAUUUAAUUUUUGUAUAUAAGAAAUGAUUGAAGAUGCUAUGUAUCUAUAGCUCAACACACAAGAAAAAUAAUUUGAUUUUAUUUGCUCGUGUGUUUAGAAUAUUAAAAAAUAGAACUUUUAUAACCACAGAAAAAAGUUUAGGCCUCCGACAAAAUGUUAUUUAUUUUUUGUAAAAAAGUACUAAAAAGAACCAUGCACUCGCAUAAAAAAGAGGCGCAAGGAUAUAACUAGUUACCAAAAUAUGACCACAUAAAAAAAAUUAAAAAAAUUUGGGCCCUCCCUUGAGCCAAGGCCCAGGGCGGUCACACUGACUACCCUAGCUCAAGGCCGAGGCUGACAAGCUUAACAGCUCACUAAUAAUAUUCUAAUAACUCACUCCUUAAUCUGCUAACACUUGGCACUAUCAUCAUCAUGAUAUUCUUACCCGAAUUGACUGCAAUAACCACGCAAGCCUCAAUCAAGAUUGUUGAUGGAAGACCCUACCGAUUGGUGAGGCACAAUCCGCCAUCGCUGAACGACAAUAAGGACCAUCAAAAAAUCCGAAUGUGCUUCUCAACCACUAGGCAUCAUGCUUGCCGAAGAAGGAUCCAAACAAGGCUGUCAUGUCAGUUUUAGGAUACAUGCCAUCACCACAACAAUUGACAGGAAGUCUCACAUUGAAGAAAAUGUGCAAAUAUCCCUUACCAUUUGUCUAUACACUAUUCCCAAAAUGGAAGAUAAUUAAUCAAUGCUACCAUUACUCUGUAAAAAUCAUUUCAGACUUUGCAUUUAGCUAAUUUAAGCAUCAGAGAGCUUUUGGUCGGUACUAGACCGGUGCCAAUAUUUCACCAAUUAUCUUCCUCACAGGUCAUCCUACACUUGCCGAAGGCUGCAUGAGGCAAAGUUUUGAAGAUCAGCUCCCUUUAGAGUUGCAUCCAAUUUUGGACAUCAACAACAAUUUAUGAAGAGGGUUGAAAGAUUCAGUUUUUGUCUCACAUAAAGCACACAUUAGAUUUGCAUGGGCAUUAUUUGAGCUGGUGAUUACUUUUACUUGUAAGAAUCCUCUUGAUUUGGAGGGAUAACCUCCAGUUUUUUUUUUUUUUUUUUUCCAAUGAUGGGUUUUUGGGUGAACAUUUUUUGUGUGUUGAUCUGAUUACUAUGACUAGUCAUACUAUAUAUGUUAUCUCUGUAAUGUUGAAGAAUCUUCACACACCUCUCACUUUAGUUAUUGCUAACACAAGAGAUGUCUAAAUUGACAGGUCCUUCUGAGUGCCUAGAUUGAUAGGACAUCUCACUUUAAUCAUCUUCUAAGUUUGAAUGGAUUUGAAUAUUAAUUGAUAAGUGAAUGUGUCUCUUCUGUUAUGUGUUCUUAGAUCUAUGACUAGUUGUUGACUAGUCAUAUAUUUUCUAGGAUUACUUUGUUGAUACGUCUAAUCUAUGGUCUAUCUUAUCAGCAUUUAAAUUUACCCCUUCCACCUAAUUACUAAUUUUAUUUUGACUUUGGGUGGGAUUUGGAGUUUCCAAAUUUUUGAAAGCAAAUGUUGUAAGGAUAGUACAGCCGAAAAAAUUCAACUAUAUUCUAAUGCAAAUGAUAUUGAAAUGUGGACCUGAAGAAUUGUAAACUAGUGUAAUGGGUUAAGUGAUACAAUCCCUCGAGUCAAACAGAGAGAUAAUGUUUACCAUUUGUUUGUUUGUAAUACAAUCUCAUUUAUCACUCCUUUUUCUCAGCCCAAAUGUAUGAAAUAUUAUCUUUAAUAUCUAAUCAAUUGAAAUAUUAUCUUUCAUAAUCACCCAACAAUUUGAUAUGAUGCUAGCUAUCAAUCACGCUAUCUAACCAACUUUUGACUUAGCUAUUCGUCAUUUUCAUAAUCAAUCACAAACCAAACUCUAUUGACUUUAGUUAUUGCUCCUUACAUUUUGCGCAUAAGGAAAGAGCCAUCUACACCAAUCUGACCACAUUACUAAUCACAUCUUGCACACAAACAAAACUCAUAUGAAAUUUUGCUGAUCACUAACUUAAAUACGUAGUCUUAUCAACCUAUCAAAAUCAAACAAAGCAUCUUGAUUUAAACUAGGUUCUGCCUUUUUCUUUUGGUGAGAAAAAAAAAAAUCUUAAAGGUCUAUAAAUAGAGAGCCAAGUGCCACAUUAUGUUCACUCAGCAGAAAUCAUCUACCCUUCGUACAUUAUUUGUGUUCACCUUGUGCUGAUUACCAUAUGGCAUCUUCGAAAACUUUUCUUCUUCUUGGUCUUGUCUUUGCUGUUGUCCUCGUCUCCUCUGAGGUCGUCUCAGCUCGCGAGCUGGUUCCGACUACUGCUCAAACCCGUCAGUUUCUUUCUUUCUCAAAUAAAUCUUUUGUUUCUUUUAUUCUAGUAUGAGUUCGUAAACUUUUCGAGGCACAUUCUAUAUGUGGUACAGGAUAGAUCAUGACAAUUUUUAAUGAUACGAAUUAAUUUGUAUUUAUAUAUGUGACUUGUAAAGAAAUGAAUGGUUAAGAUUUCUUUAGCUAAAUGAUGUGCCUGCAUGGCUUAAUUUGCAACUUUUCGACAUAUAUAACGUUUUUCUUUUUAUGCUAUUUUCCUCUUCUUUUUUUUUUUUUCUUUCAGAGGAAAAUGUAGAGAAGGAUAACUAUGGUGACCAUUUUCACUGCCACGAGCAUGGACUUUGGGAGCAUGGCCACGGCCAUUGCCACGGACACUGGGAGCAUUGUGGCCAUGGCUGCCACGGAAAAUGGGGACAUGGUGCUGCUGGGAGUGAAAUAGAGAAUUAGAUAUAAACCUAUAAUUUGCCUGUGGUAGUAUAUGUUGCAGGCAUGUUAUAAGGUUCAUAAAUAAAUCUUUGUUUGUCAAUAAAGCAGCAUUAAUUGGUUGAGUAGAUCCAUAACUCCCAAUCACAGCUGGUUUUUAGGGUUUAUUGAUCCUCGCCUUAGAUUUGCUACAAUGCACUUUGAUUUGCUGAGUUGAAGUUGUGUCAAAAGUGUACUGUUGAACUUUGGAAUCUAUCCUUGUAAAUAAAUAAAUUUGAAGUUUUUUUUUAAUUACUGUGCUCCACUGAAUUGAAGUGCAUUCAAUAAAAUUAUAUAACAAAAACUCUCUAUGCGUGGUUGAUUUAUAGAUAGAGUGAUAGAAAUUUGUACAAGUGUUCUAUUGUACUCGGUCCACGUGUCGUGAUGAUAUAGCUGUUAGUCUGUUUGAUAUGAUUAGGGAUUGCUUAAUAGUUAGUUUGCAGGUUAGUUUUGGCGGCAAUUGAUGACUUUGCAGAGCUGUUGAUGAUUUCGUAAAAAUAUUGUAUUCUUGAAUUUUAAUAGCACAAAGUUCUUGUUCAUAUAUCUUCGAGUCAAGGUUGAGGAUAAACUGGGUCUAAUCAUAGAAACAAAAUUGCAACCUUCUACUGGAUUUCAAAUUGGAAAGCCUCUCAUCAAUCAGACUUCACGGAAGCUCACGGCCCAAUACUUAGAGUAGUACGUAUAAAUAGCUUACUAUAUAAGUAGCCAAAGGAAGGACGUGUGCACUUUUGUUACAAUUAUGACAUCCUUAACAUACAAAAACUCUAUGUGUAUAUGUAUAUUUUAUUAGGAGAUUCAUUAUUAUAUCCAAUAUAAGAGCUCAAAUUAUAAAAAUACCAUAUAUGAAAUGGACUUUAGAAACAUACCCAAAGCUCAUUUACAACAUAACAAAAAAAACUUUUAUAAUUACAAAACUGUCAUUGAUUUCUUAACAAACUUAACCCCAAAACCUCAUAAAAAAACCCAAAACACUCAAUAGGGCAUCAAAGUAAUUUAAUAAUCAAAAUUAAAUUAAAUAGGGUCAGCUGUCAUUUUUUGGGUUUGUUUAUAGAAAUUAAAUAGUGUAGGGCUUAUUUAUAGCUUUAGUGCUAAGAAUGUAUAUGACUAAAUAUCUCUAUUUUAUUUUCGAGUCAUACUAGGGAGACCAACUUUAGAUACCAAUUUGUGUACUAUUUUCUAAUAGAGCUGGAGCCCACCAAUACAAUAGGUCACACCUCUAUUAGAGAGAUGGUACACAAGUUGGUUUUUUUUUUUUUUUUUUGAGGACCUUUCCUAUUGAAAGGGGCGAUAGCAUAUUAAACUCACACACACAACACGGAUGCUAGGACUCGAACCCAGGACCUUGCCUGAGGGAGUAAAUACUCCAAACCACUACACUAGUGGGUCCUUUGCACACAAGUUGGUAUUUAAAGUUGGUCUCCCUAGCAUUUUCUUUUUCUUUUUAUAUAUAUGAGUGCUCAAGCGCUAAUUGGUUGGUAAGAUAAGAUGAUGCUAAUCAUUCAUUUGGGCUUACUCCACAACAUCAUCUCACAAUCCAAACCGAUUUUUAGUUCAUCAUUCAAAGAUCACCCUUGUAAAAAGUUAGCCAAAUUAGACAACAUUUUGUCAUUUAGGUGUGAUCAAAUAAACACAAACACAAUUUAUUCAAGAUGAUAAUAAAAUAGUUAAAUUCUUUAUGAUUUGGCUAAUUUAAAAUGACACUAAAGUUUGAGAGAUUAACCUUAACUUUUUAUGGGUGCCAAUAACUUUCCUAUAUAUAUAAUAUAAAUAUUUUUCUCCUCUUUAUUUAUUUGGAAAAGAUGCUUUAUUAAGAGAAGUACUGUGGGGCCCAUUUGGUUCAUGAAAAAGAGACUUAGGGAUGGAAAAUCAAUUACUUUUCCAUAUUUGGUAAGUCCAGGCAUGGAAAAUGGUUGUGUGACAUAUGAGAAAGUAGAGGGAAAAGUGAAGCCCUCCUCCCAACUUGGGUGACAUAUGGGAAAGUUUAAGAAAAUGAGUCAACAUUAAAUGCACAUUUUUUAUGACCAUUUUGUCCCCAUUAACAAUUUAGAACUAUAAUAUAUCAUUAAAUAUAUUUUUUUUAUUUGAUUUAAUACGGGUAUAAUUGAAAAAUUAUACAAACUUUGUUUUCCAUUCCUACUCAAAACAAACUUAGGAAAGGAAAUAAAGUGAUAUCUCUCUGUUACUUUCCCAACAUUUCCUAACGUGAGAAAUGUUUUCCCCUCAAAUCCGUUCUGUGAACUAAAUGGGGAGGGCGGACCUACGAAGGGGCUCAACCGGGUUUUAGCCCAGUGCUAGUUUUGUACUUUAGUCUUCAUUGUACAACAAAAUCCACUACAAUUAAAUAUUAUAGCCCACUUAUCUUUUAGAAUUCAGCGUAUCCUAGCCACCAAAAUCAGAUUUUAUUUUCUUCUACCCAUUGAAAUUCUACCAUAUUUUCUAUAAAACAAAAUAUAUAUAAUCCUACCAUAUAGUAUUAAUUAGCCCAAAAAUUCUUGGUUAUAAAAGAUCUUCCCAAAAAAAAAAGAAAAAUUACCCACCCCUGAAAAAAUUCCUAGGUCCGCCAUUGAGAAGCACUUACACAAAUGAUAGGAUGAAACCAUAUGAAACCCAACGUAAGAGCCAUGAACAAAAACGUAAUCUUAAAAAAGAUUCGAGCCCUGAACUAAUUACAAAAAAACAAAGAAAAGAAAAAAGAAAAAGGAAACCAGAACACCCCUACAUGUUGCACACCCAAAAUGGCUUUGCCAGCAACAGAAAUUGUCAAGAAGAACAAAAAAAUUAAGAAAAAACUUUCAAAAAACAAAGAGAUAGUAAAAUAACACAAUCAUAUAUGGACAAGAAAAAGAAAAGAAAAACUGCAAAUUAGAGAAAGUAAAGAAAACCUGCUAAAACAACCCAACACAAAUUAAAAUACAAAAUAAACCAAGAAAACAUACAAAACAGCAAGAAACCAAAAGAACAUAGAAAUAAACCACAAAGAGUCUAAUUUAGCAGACUCUAUUAGCGGGAUGCCCAAAUAAGUUCCCUUCAUUCUCUUUGUGGUUUAUUGUGCUUUUUCUCUGUUCUUUGUGGUUUAUUGUAGGUUUUCUUUGUGUUAUGGCAAUUUUGUUUUGCUUCUUCUCUUUAACAAGCAAAGAUAAGGGUGCAAUCGUUAUCCAUUAUAAUAUUAUAAUAAUAUUAUUUUUGCCUAAUCAUGCUCAAAUGUGGAAUUCUGAUAAAGUUGGUGUUGGAGAUCAAUUAGAAAUUAACCAAAUAACAGAAUAUAACAACACGAAAAUAAAUUAUAUAUAUUAUCAAAUCAUCAAAUUAAUACAACAAAGUUCAAUACAACAGUAGAAUCAAAUAGAAAAUACUAACGUGAUUGGAUGAUAGAAUUCUGCAGAGUUGCAGUGUCCUUUAGACAACAUUUCUCCUCUACCUCUUGUGUUUGUAAGUUCAAUAGAAGGCUGUCCACUAUGAUUAAACUAUCACAAAUUAAAGCCUAAGUAAGAUGACUUUGAUUUCUGGCGAACAAUGACAUGUUUUUCUCUCAUGAAAUGAUUAUUUGUGGAGAAAUGAUAAUGUGAUUUCAAAAUUCUAUGCAUAAUGGCUUGAACGAAUUGUCUUUUAUAUAGAGGUCUGAUACCUCUUCAUCCAAUACUUGUAAGAACUGCAUAUAUAUACAGUGAGCUUCUAUUGAGGGAUUCCUCAAAUAAAUAUUUGAGGGACACCCUUAUAUGGCCCACUCCGUAUUGUAUUUCACUAAUCCAAACCGUCUAUUUUGUAGAUAUUCAUUCAAAGAUCAUCUCUACAAAAAAUCACUUGAAUCCGAUAUCAUUUGAUCACUCAAUUAAAUUAUUAAAAUUUUAAUACUUUUUUAAAACACCGUGUUUAUUUUUUGAUAUAAUAAAUUCUGUUUUUUCAAAACAAAAUUCCUGAUGGAGUUCCGAUAUGGGAAAGAAGCCUUUAUUUCUUUUGUGUAAUAUCAUGAUAUUGAACCGAGAUGAAAACUUCCUUCAUGGUUCUCUUUACAUUGUCACCCAUUGAAAUUAGUAUUUUAAAGCUAGCCUAUGAUUGAUGAGUCUAACUUCUAACAGUGACCACCGUAUACGAUUUGAAUCAAACCUAAGAGAGACCAUUCUAAAGAAUUUUUCAGAUUAAUGAUUUGUCGAAGUCUCAAUAAAAAGAAAACAGGAAAAGAGAAACUUGAUAUGCAGAUCGUAUGAAGAUUUCCAAUCCCCUUCCGCUACAAAAACAAAAGCUUCAGUGUCUCUGUUCUUUUCUUUCCUGGAAGUGUUAACAGCAUAAAAACUUUUGUCAUUUGUUAUGAGUUGCAUAGUUUGCAUGACAUCAUUAUAGCAACAUCACAAAUCGUCAUAAAUUGAAGAACAGAACCUAAGUAGAGAAUUACUCAUAUAUUUAUAUUGAGGGAAGGAAAUAUAUCAAGAAAGUAGAUUUUGAAAUAAAUAAUAGUACUCUUUCUACUUUAGCUUGAUUUGCAUGUCGGAAAAGAUUGAUAGAAAAGCGACAAAUCCACAAUACAUGUGAGAGUCGACAUGGCACUGUGAAAAGUCUUUCUUCGAAACUUCUUUGCAACCACAUCCUUUGCAUUUGCCUUCAUUUAUUAUAAAUUUUGGAAUAGCUUUUAACUUUAUUUUUAUUUUUAUUUUUAUUUCUUUGUCGGAAUGUCCUUUUGCCUUAAUUAUUGGAUCAGUGAUAAGAUGAAGCCACUGCAAACCACCAAAAAUUAUAAAGUCGAUGAAGAUAGACAGAAGCAACAUAGGUAGUGGUCCAAUCAGUGCCUACAGCUUUCUUUAUCCCUGUAAUAUCCCACAUCGACUAACGGAGAGGAAAUGAUGUACCUUAUAUGUACAUGUCCACCUUUAUCUAGCACGAGACUUUUUCGAAGUUAAGUGAGUUUGGGCUAGAGCAAUCCCAGAAUGGAUGACCCACUGGGAAGUUGCUCGUGAGUUCCCAAAAAUAAAACCGUACCCAAAGCGGACAAUAUCGUGCUACGGCGGAGCUGAUCCCGAGAUGUGACAAUCCCUCUUACAAACAUAAAUAAUAUGGUAUAAUUUAUACACAUGUAAUAAUAUGAAUGGACGACACAGACCAAUUACAGUGAGAUACAUGUACAAAAGUACCUCAUCAAAUUUACAAAAUAAAAAGUUAGGCACACAUGUGAGAUUGUGAUUUGUUUAUAAUAUGAAAUGACUCAUCCUUACAUAUGCAAUGAGCCAAAGAUUUUCCUUAAUCAGUUUGGAUGGAGAAAAUUAACUCCGAAUUGAGCUAAAAGUUAAUAAUUGAAGAGGAGAAAUUGAUAUUAAAUGACGUGCGGAAAAAAUCGUGGAAAAUGGGUUUCGAAAUUUCUAAGUUAAUUUUCCCAAAAGAGGAAUCAUUUCACACUUUCUAUUGGAUAAGAAUUUAUUUUUCAAUAUAGUUUCUAUCACUUACAAAAUUUGACAUAUAUAAAUUUAAAUAUUAAAAUUAUUAAUUGUUAAAAAUUUAAAUAAUAGUAAUAUAAAUUUCUUCAUUCAUUCGUUCAUCCAAAUCAAAGGUAAAUAGUGCCCUAGUAUAUUAGGGACGAAAAGUACCAAAACAAACCCCAAUACCCGUGCUAGUGUUGACCUUUUUAGUAGAAUUUAUCUUAUCUAUUUCUAGUGUAAUACGUGUUUUUGGACUUGUGGUGAUUAUUAACAGGUGGCAUUGGUUAUCUCGGAUUGGUGUCGGUUUCUAAUGAGUUGGUUUGUAAUGCUAAUUUCUUUUGCUCAUUGUUUCUGGGUUUCUGUAGGUUUAUUGUCAAAUUUUUGUAUUUGCCAGAAGCCUCAUCCAAAAUUGUAUAUCGCCCCCUGUUGCUGUAUGAAGGGAAAACAAAUAAGGUUCUCCAAAAAAAACAUAUUGGUUGAGACUUCACUUUUUCUUGCUGAACACAUGUAUCACGUGUCAACUUACUUUCUUUCUUCUUCUUCGUCUUUUCUAUUUUUUAUUUAAUUAAUUUUGUUUAUUUUUAAUUUUUUUUCAGUACCCCUUUUUCUUUUGUGCAUUUACGCGCUAUACGAACUGAUAUAAACAAUUCAUGACGAUUAAAUGGGAGCUUUCCAGUUCUUAACUUUACCUUAUCUUCAACUUUAUAUCACAUAUUGUACUAAUCCUUUUAAAAGCAUGACACUUUUGUGUGUGCAUUUUCUUUUGACGAUACGUUCCUUUUAAGUGAUCUUGAUGCUUGUUAUAAAUUUUGUGCAUAAUUAAGUGUUCGUUUGGCAUUGCUUAUUUGGGGUAAUAAGUGAUUUUUUAAAAAUUUUGAGAAGUCCAAUCCGUUUGGUAAACUGUAAGAAAAUCACUUAUUGUUAAAAAUUGCGAUGAGAGAAAGCUAUAGGGGAAAACAGCUAAUGAUGUGCUUUCAUUUUCUGAUUAUGCAGGAAUCAGUUUCAAAGAGGCGCUAGGUUUAAUGAUUAUGCGGCAAUCAUUUUCUGAUUAUGCGUAAAAUCAAUAUCAACAACACUUUUAACAAAAAAUUUACCAAAUGCCAAACUGCUUUCUCUUACAGCUGAUUUCUCUCAUAGCAAAUCUGAGAGCGAUUAUUUUCACUGUACAGCAAUGCCAAACUGGAAGUUAGUUUCUUGGUAUUUAACUCUUUUAAUGUUUUUAUUUAAUUAUAAAAUUUAAUUUGCCUUCUGGAGUAUACAUGUCAAUUUACUCUUCAAUAUGAACUUUAACUAAUUAAAUACGAUUUUCCCGACUUCAAAUAAUUAAAUAUAAUUAGGGACGUGGAGUUGUUGGGCUCUGAUAUCAUGAAGCAAGUAGAGUUUCCAUCCUACAAUCAAUUGUGAAUGGAGGGAGUGACCAAACUUCUUACAAGCCAUUUGUGAGAUUUCUUAACUUUUCAACGUACAUAAGACAUUUCUUCCCAUUAUCAUAUAUAUAUAUAUAUAUAUAUAUAGUAAUGUAUAGAAUUAAAACUUGCUACUCUAGCUAGCUAGCAGCUUUCUCAAUUACAUUUAGAGAUGAAUAAUAUGGCAAAAAAUAUGAUAAAUAUGUAUAAUUAUUAUCACACCUUUUGUCAGAUAAAAAUGGUGUCUAGAAAUGUAAAUAUAGAAUGAAAACUGAAAUGAAAAGGACUUGCAUAAUCAUCACUCUACAGUGAGAGGCAUGAAAGAUGAAUACGGAGAGACCAAGCCAAAUUAAAAGAUGUGAGAAACUCAGGUUGAAUUUCUCUCUCUCUCUCUCCCUCCACCACCCCACUCUAUCUUAAAGGGUCUAUAAAUAGGGAGAGCUAAUCCCCAUUAUGUUCACUCAGAAAUCACGUCUUAUCUUGUCUUGUUAAUUAUAAGCAAAAAAAUGGCUUCCUCGAAAACUUUUCUUCUGCUUGGGCUUAUGUUCGCUGUUGUCAUCCUCAUCUGCUCUGAGGUCUCAGCUCGUGAGCUAGCUGAAACUACUACUCCAUCUAGUCGUGAGUUUCUCCCUUUGUUAACAAAAACAUAUAAGUCUCUUUUAUUCCUCUGAUUUAUGAAUUUAAUUUAUGCAUGGCAUCUAUCCUUUAGUUGACGAGACGUAAUAACAUAUCAAUAAUUUUUUACAAAUCUGGAUGUUUCAUCAUUUUGCAUGUACGUACGUAUAUAUAGGUCGACGCAUACUUUUUAUAUAUUCAUUUAUCUUAUUCUCUUUCUAUAUAUAAAAGGAGGCGCAGUGUCAUGUAACCGUCCAGGCGCACUGUGCCAUGGCCGUGGAGAAAAAGGCAAUAACCCUAAACCUGGAGGAGAGCAUUGUAAAAAGAAUCCAAGUCUCAGAGGGUGCUAUAACCAUGGAGGUCAUGAACGUGGAGGAGAGGAAGACCCUAUCCAUAAAAGGCAUGGUCAUGAACACGGAGGAGAGCAUGACCCCAACCAUAAAGGCCGUGGUCAUGAACAUGGAGGAGUAGUGCUUGAACCCAUCCAUGGAGGGAAAGGCCACGGUCACGAACGCGGAGGAGAGGGAGACCCUAACCAUGGAGCACAUUGUAAACGUGGAGAAACCAAUAGAGCGUGCUACGGGCAUGGAGGUCAUGAACGUGGAGGAGAGGGAGACCCCAUCAACCACGGCAGCAAAAACAGACCAGGACAACCAGGCACCGCUGAGACCGAAACAAAGAAUUAGAUAAAACCUUGGCCUGUGUACGUGUGUGGAAAGUUUGUUUGUCAAUAAAAAGGUCUAUUACAUAUAUUGGUUGAGUAGUUGUGAACACUCAGGCAAAAUCAGACCUACUAUAUAAGGUUUAUCUCUGUACUGUUACGUAAUGUAGUCUUGGAUCCUGCUUGUUAUAUGUACUUAAUGCAUGUGUUUUAAUUUUCUGAAUUGAUAUUGUGUGUGGAAAGUGUCUAGAAUUUCAAGUUUACCUUUAAUUGCUUACUGAGUUCCAUUUGAAAUCUCACAAUUUUCUGUUUUGAUUCGUGUCAUGAAUAAAUAAUAAAUAAACUAUGAGAGGGACCAAAUAGAACUAAUGCACACCCACAAAAAGUAUCAAUUAUGGUCAAUCAAUGCAACUAGCUUCUAAAUAUGGGUGGUUAGAUCCAUAAUAAGAUGAAGCCAUUGGAAACCACCAAAGUUUAUAAAGUUGAAUAUCCUUACACAAUGGUAAUUUUCCUUCUAAAUAAACAAAAUAAAUCUUAAAUUUUAACCUGGUGAUUAUUUGUUUAUGUCUAAUCUCAUUUAUUUUUCAACUAAUUUUUGUUAGUAGUGUAUUAGAAAAAACUAUUAGUGUGCUCAAAAACAUAAAUUAAUUGAUGAAUGGUCUUUAGAGGAUCCUUUUUAUAAUUUUAGUUUCCGUCUUUAAAAAAAAUUAGUUAAGACUACAAUUUUUUUAAAAAAAAUUAGUGAACACAUGUAUCACGAGUCAACCUACUUUCUUUCUUCUUUUUUUCCUUUUUUUUUUUUUUUUUUUUCUGGGAGUGCAUUUACACGUACAAACUGAUUUAAACAAUUCCUACACAACAGCUAUUUGAUGAUAAAAUGGAAGCUUUCCAGUCGAGCUACUUUCUGUUAAUUUAUCUUUAACUUUAUGUCACGCUGAGUCUACUAAUCCUCUUACGAGCAAGACUUUUUUUUUUGUUCCCUGAGCUUUGAAGUAAGACACUUUUGUGUGCAUUUCUUUUGACGAUUAUGUCCUUUUUAGGUAGAGCUUGAGCUUGUUUAUUAAUUAUCUGCGUUAGUUUCUAGUACUUAAUGUUUUUUUCUUUGCAGACGUGGCUUAGGCCAGUUGGUUCAUAUAGUGAGUUUAUCUCCGUACAUAUUUUAAAUAUACGAAAUAUCCAAUCCAAUAUUAAUUACCAAAAUAACCAUUUGUGUCUGAAAAUAUAAAUAUAAGAAAGGAAACAAAAAUCGAAAAGACUUUUGUAAUCACUCUACAGUGAGAGACAUGAAAAAUGAAUAUUAUAAUGAGUGAGAAUACUAUUCCUGUUGUAAAUGCAUGAGUUGGUGGAUGGCCACCAUACCUCUUAAUAUUCCACCGUUGGAUUUUAUGUAACCUAUGCACUAAGUAUUUGUAAUUAGUGCUUGUAACCUAUAUGUAUAUUGUAAAUGAUGGUAUUCAAUCUCCUAUCUUGUAAGCCUAUAAAUAGGUGGUUCUACCAAAGAUUUAGGGUAGAAUAAACAUGGUGAAACUUUGUCUUUAGCAUAUCACUUCUCUCUACAUUUUCUCCCUCUAGUUUUAUAACAAUUCCACCUAUUCGUGAGUUUCUCCCUUUGUUAACAAAAUAUAUAUAUAUAUAGUUUUCUUUUAUUCCUCAGAUUUGUGAAUUUAAUUAAGCACAUCAUUCAUACAAAUCUAUGACAUACCAAUAAAUUUUGAUAAAUUAUCCUGAUUUUUCCGUAUAUAACAUUUUUGUUUCUAUGUUAACUCAUCAGGAUUUAUUAGUUUGAAAUUAAUUAUGAUUGUUGUACAUAAUCUUGGAUUAAUCUUCCUAUGGAAAUAGCUCCUCUACAACUACACAAUUUAUUUAUUUAUUUUUUUGAGGUCCUUUCCUAUUGAAAGGGGCGAUAGCAUAUUAAACUCACACACACAACACGGAUGCUAGGACUCGAACCCAGGACCUUGCCUGAGGGAGCAAAUACUCCAAACCACUACACUAGUGGGUCCUUUGCACAACUACGCAAUUUAUAUAGUUGUGAAAUAGCUCCUCUAUUAAUUAGUAAGAUUAUUCUAACAUUCAAGAUAAGUUCUAUAAGGAGAAUGCCCCAUAUAUGAUGCCGUGAAUUAGCCAUCCAUAUAUAUAUAUAUACAUACAAGGAGUUUUAGUUGAGGAAUUCUUCAAAUAAGCUUAUUUGAGGGACAUCUUUGUAGUGUCCAUUUCGUAUUAUUUCACUAAUCCAAACUGUCUAUUUUGUAGAUACUCAUUCAAAGAUCAUUUCUACAAAAAAUCACUUGAAUCCGAUAUCAUUUGACCACUCAAUUGACGUAUUGAAAUUUUAGUACUUUCUUGAAGCAUCGUGUACAUUAAUUUUGUAGGACACAAUUGGAUGUCGAAACAAUUUUCGAUUUGUCUAAUUUUUUGAAAGGAUGAUUUAUGAAUGUAGACUUAAAAAAUUGAUGGUUUGGAUCAUUGAAAAAAAUUCAUAGAGGACCCUAAAGGGUGUCCCUCAAUAGAAGGGGACUGUAUAUACAUAUACAAUUAUUCUCUUAUCCAAAUAUCUAUACGUUGUUACCAUACGGAUGUAAAAAAUACAUGGCGUUCGCACGAUAAUAACGUUUGUACUGUCCAAUAGAAAAUAAACAUAUUUGAGAUUCACCCUUGUAUGGCCCACUACACAUUAUAAUUAAUGAUCUGAACUGUCUAGUUUUUAAAUAUUCCCUCUUAGAUCAUAUAUAUGCAAAAAAAUCAUUUGAAUUCAAAACCAUUUGGCUACUCAACUAUAUGAUUGUUAUCAUAAACUUUUUUUUUUUUUGAAGCAUCGUGUUUGUGUAUUUUAUUAGUUCCAAUUAGAUACCUUUUUAACUUUUAAUUUAUAUGAUUUUUUGCAAGAAUGAUCUAUGAAUGAAGGUUUAAAAAAUAGAUGGUUUGAAUGGUUAAAUUUAUUUCCGUAGAGUAACCUAAAGAAUGUCCCUUAAAUAAAAUUAUUUUAGAGAUCCCUCAAUUAAGGAAAGAAAAAGACACAAUCGUUAUCCAUUUAUUAAUCCUGCUCAAAUGUGGAAUUCUAAUAAAGUUGGGUGCAUUAGGGUUUGUAUGAUAUUAUAUUUUUCUUAUAAAAUAGUUUCGAUGACAUCAUUGUAAGACAUCACAUAAGUCGUCAUAAUUUGAGAAGCCAUUAAAUUAGAUUUAAAGGUGGAUAUAGGUCCAAGAGAAUGACACUGUAUGUACAUAUAUGGAGGAAAAGAUAUAUAUCAAGUAAGAAUAUUGUAAAAGAUUCUGGAAAAACUACAAAUCAACAAUACAUGGCAGUGCGAAAAGUCUUUGUUCAAACCUUUUUUUAUUUCGGUAGAGAGGAGGGCUAAAGCCCAAUACAAAACACGAACUAAUAAUUAAUAUUAAAUGGUCGAUAGCAAGGGAGCAUCCCAAAUAUGGAGACCCAAAGGCUUAAUAAUUUGGCAACCAGAAAAAAAAAAAAAGCAUAUAUCAACAACAUAAUUGUUUUCCCUAAACACAUGAUGAAUCUGACACAUACCAUCAGACAUAAUAGGUUUGCAACAAGAUAUAAGACUGAACAACGGGUGCAAGGGAUCACAACUAUGAGCAUUAUGACCUAAUUUUUUAAUAAUUUUUUUUUGUAGGAAUACCUUUUAGCUUAGUUAGAUCCAUAAUAAGAUGAAGCCAUUGGAAACCACCAAAGUUUAUAAAGUUGAUGAAUAUCCUUAGACAAUGGUAAUUUUCCUUCUAAAUAAACAAAAUAAAUCUUAAAAUUUAACCUGGUGAUUAUUUGUUUAUAUCUAAUCUCAUUUACUUUUCAACUAAUUUUUGUUAGUGGUGUAUUAGAAAAAACUAUUAAUGUGCUCAAUAACAUAAAUUAAUUGAUGAACGGUCUUUAGAGGAUCGUCUUUAUAAUUUUAGUUUCCGUCUUUAAAAAAAAAUUAGUUGAGACUACAAUUAAAAAAAAAAAAUUAGUGAACACAUGUAUCACGAGUCAACCUACGUUCUUUUUUCUUUUCCUUUUUCUUUUGUGCAUUUACACACGGAUUUAAACAAUUCCUACACAACAACUAUUCGAUGAUAAAAUGAAAGCUUUCCAGUCAAGCUACUUUCUGUCAAUUUAUCUUUAACUUUAUGUCACACCGAGUCUACUAAUCCUCUUACGAGCAAGACUUUUCUUUUGUUCCCUGAGCUUUGAAGUAAGACACUUUUAUGUGCAUUUUCUUUUGACGAUUAUGUCCUUUUUAAGUCAUGAGCUUGAGCUUGUUUAUUAAUUAUCUGCAUACGUUAGUUUUUGGUGCUUAAUGUUUUUUUCUUUGUAGACGUGGGUUAGGCCAAUUGAUUUGGACAGUGAAUUUGUCUUUGUAAAUGCUUUAAAUAUACGGAGUAUCCAAUCCAAACUAAUCACCAAAAGAACCAGUUGUGUCUAGAAAUAUAAGAUCGGAAACUGAAAUUGAAAGGACUACUUUUGUAAUCACUCUACAAUGAGAGACAUGAUAGAUGAAUAUUAUAAUGAAUGAGAAUACUAUUCCACCUAUUCGUGAGUAUAUAUAUAUAUAUAUAGUUGUCUUUUAUUCCUUAGAUUUGUGAAUUUAAUUAAGCACAUCAUGAAUACAAAUCUAUGACAUAUCAAUAACUGUUUGAUAAAUUAUACUGAUCUGUCCGUAUAUAACAUUUUUGUUUCUAUGUUAACUCAGGAUUUAUUAGUUUGAAAUUAAUUAUGAUUGUUGUUCAUAAUCUUGGAUUAAUCUUCCUAUGGAAAUAGCUCCUCUACAACUAUGCGUUUUAUAUAGUUUUGAAUGUGCUAUUAAUUAGUAAGAUUAUUCUAACAUUCAAGAUAAGUUCUAUAAGGAGUGUUGAUGCUCAAAAAUGGUCCAACACUUUUGGGGCAAACUUAGUGAUGUUUUGAUAUUCAGCAUCUUUUGAGCUUCAGUAGAGCGAUCGAUCUGCAAGAUAGAAAACGCUCCGUAAGCCCUUGGGCACCAGUGUGGUACCAGUCGAAGGCUCUAUGAUGCUUAAGUAAGAAUAAGUACGGAGUGUAUAGUAAUCUGGACAGAGUAAUGGCUGAAUUGCCGAAAGUCUCGGUUAUACCCUUUGUGGGACUUGUGCCCACUUUUAUAAGUCUUGGGGAGGUGUGCAUGUUAUGUGAAACUUCGAUGUGGGAUUGUUGAUAUUGCAUGUGGUGGCUCCACGUGUCUCAACAAGGAAAUGGUUAGUAAGAGGUCUUGUGUUGUAUUCGACAGUAAGGGGUGCCGAACGCUCCUUACCGAUGGCUUCUUACUUUCCAUGUGGGAUCUUCUCAUUGGUCAAUCAUAUAAGGUAUAAACAGGAGUCCCUUAAGUUUCCAUCUGAGAGAAUCUUCUUAGUUGGGGACUUGCUCUUAUCAUCAGUACCCUGGUCAACCAGGGUUUUGUUUACAAGGCGUUGCUCGGUAUAGGAUGUUUAAACAAUCCAUGGUGUUCCGUUCGGUACCCCUCUCUGGGGUAGGCAUUUCAUCGGCAGUGUUAGUGUUUUUGUAGGAAAUUGUAUUCCUGGCCUUUCAUGGGCCAUAAAAGUAUGUAACGUUCGGUAGAAGUGAUCUCCCAAACAGUAAAGCGUACUGGGGCUACCUUCUUGGCAUGAUAAAUACGCAGUGCCGAUCGGUAGUUUUUAGAAUCUUCUGAACAUUUACGUGGAUAACAUGACGCUUAGUCUUCUAUGUGUGGUGUGCGCGUUGGGAAGCGAAACUGAGAGCAUGGGAUAACCUUCCGUGCAUAGCGUGUAGGUUGCUACCGCACAUUACUGGUGCCACGUGUCGUGAGCACGCAUGCGAAAUGAAGUAAUGAUGGCCUCAGUUGCAUUAUUGAGGCGAACCAAUUGGUUUCGUCUGUAUAAAAAGGAGGUGACUUCGGAUUUGGAAAUCACUUGUAUUGUGAGAGCCAUUUGCGAGCUUGUGAAGAGACGAUUUCCGGCAAGCAUUCUUCAUUGAGAAGGCGAUUUUCGGCGACUGUUUACACGGCGGAGAGAUUUCCGGUGACUUUGUCAACCGUAAAAAACAAGGCAUGUUGCUCUCUUAGCUUUCUUUUUCGAUCAAAUGCACCCUUUUGGCUUGAACUAGUCUAUGAAUAUGUAUGAUCACGAAGAAUGUUCGGUAAUCUAUUUGCCGUAAGUAGCAAUAAUCAUAGGACUCCCUAGUUUGAUCUUUGCAUGGCAUUUAGUUUCCCUUUCAUUUCUAUUUGUAGGAAAGAUCAGGCUGGAAUUUUUUAGGAGAGGGCACCCGUGUUUGCAAGGUGAAGAUCCGGCAGACCACCCUGGCCAUUUUUUGAGAUUGGCUGGAAGCCUAGCCCAGUUGUGCAAGGAGGAAAACUCCCAGCUGCCUGGCCUUGCUUUGGCUGGAAGAUUCGGCCAGCUGUUGCAAGGAGAGGGCCUAAAUAGUGCGAGUUGGCUGGAAACCCAGCCCAUUUGCAGGAAUUGGCUGGAAGCCCAGCCCGGAUGUUGUGAGGGCACCCGGUUGACAAAAAGGUCACGCAAAGUGGCUGGUGAGACAAUUCCAAAGCGAUCUUGAAUUUACUUAGUUGACCAUUUAUUCCAAACCCAACUAGUUGUAUUUUAUUUAUUUAUUGCUAUUUGUUUAUUGGCUAGGCUCCUUGGAAUUGGAUACCACACCCAAACAAAAAUAAACCAAGAAAACAUACAAAACAACAAGAGACCAAAAGAACAGAGAAAAAAGCACAAUAACUCACAAAGAGAAUCAAGGGAACUUACUUGGGCAUCCCGCUAAUAGAGUCUACUAAAUAUUCUUCUGUUUAACAAGCAAAGAUAAGGGUGCAAUCGUUAUUCAUUAUAAUAAUAUUAUUUUUGACAAAAAGCAUUUGCAAUGGUUAUGAUCAAUGCAAUUUUAUUGCAUGAAAUUGAACAAAAACAAUAAAAUCUCACUUGCAAUGGUGUUAAAUGCAAUUACAAUACAUGGUGCUAUGUGAUGAACCCUGUAUUGCAAUUGCAAUAGGCUAACUAUGGACCCAUAUGUCAAUUAAAAAAAAUAGAAAAAAAAAAUACAUCAAUUAAUGUAUUAUGUUGUUAAGAGUAUCCGCAAUGGUUGUUCAAUAGUUCAAUGCCAAAAAAAAAAAAAAAAAAUUCAAAUAUUUUCAAAAUUGUUCUCGUUUUAAAUAUCUCGAUCUCUUUGAGAAUAUUUCAAUUAUACAAUUUUUAGUGUUAUUAAAUUUAUCCAUUUUAUUUUAUUUGAGUAUGUGAAAAAAAAUGUAAGAAGAUAUAAUUAUUGAUAUGAAGUUAUUGAACUGUACCAUUACAAAUAAAACUGUUGUUCAAUUCAAAAGAUGCCAAAAUAAUUCAAUAAUUAAACUAUUAAUAUUGAACAACCUUUGUGGAUGUUGUAAUCAUGCUCAAAUGUGCAAUUGUAAUAAGCUGGAUGCAUUUGUAUUUGUAUAAAAUAUUAUAUCUUUAUUGGAAAAUAGUUUGCAUUAUAUUAUUGUUGCGACAUCACAAAUCGUCAUAAAUUGAAGAACAAAACAUAAGUAGAGAAUUACUCAUAUUUAUAUUGAGGAAAAGAAAUAUAUCAAGAAAGUAUAUUUGAAAUAAAUAAAUAGUAACGUUUUGACGUUUGCUAGGUUUCUAUUAGGCCUGCAAUUCGGCUGGAACAGAUCAAAAACCAGUGUUUCAAAUUUCAAUCCGAAAAAAUUCGAAAUUCAAUAUGCCUUCCGAUUCCAAUCUGAAUUUUAAAAAAAUUUCAAAUCUUAUUCCUAUUCCAAAUAUUCGGAUAUAUCGGAAAAAUCGAAAAUUUCCAGAAAACAUUAGUCUUAAAGAUUUUAUAUGCUUAAUUAUGCAUUUAGCAUUAAUCUCAACUGGGCAUUUUGUUAAAAGCCCAAAUUGGGGAAAUAAAAAGAGCCCAAAACGAUUUUGAAUUGCAGGCCCGCUUACAACAGUACGCUAGCCUUACUGUGCUGAGGUGAAGAUAUUUAUAGAGCAGGAAAAGACUGAAGUUCUGUUUGCAGUUGAUGUGGCACUGGCAGUCUGGCACUGAAGUUCUUUUUGUUAUAUGGUAUGUUUGGUGUUGAGAGCAUGGGGGUUUCAGUGGGUUUUCGGGUAUGAGAAUUGUUGCACAACCAGGAGAUAUAAGCAUUAGAUUGCAUGAAUAGUUUUUGAAUUUUGUUACAAUAGGAAUUAAUUUUGAUUUGUUUCUCUUUGAAUUUGGGUUCUUUUGGAUUUUGUGAGUGGGCUGCUGUGGUAGCGUCGGAGGGGUUGGAAGCUCGAGAAGGAAAUGUUAUUAACGCUUUCUGCUCUUCGAACAAAGAGGGGCUCAAUUAGAGACAGGGUGCAAGGCGGGGUUGCCAUUGGAGUAGGAAAAAAAUGUGCUGGUGCUUGGCAACGGGUUAAACUCAAAGUGAGAGAGAGAGAGAGAGAGAGAGGAAUGAUAAGAUCUUUUGGUUGUUGGGAAGGGUGGUUGGGCUGUUCGAGAUAAGGCAGUGGGGAGGGUUGGAGCUGCUGGUUUGUGUAAAAUGCGUAUUUUUAAUUUUUUGUUAUUUUAACAAAAACAAAUAGUUCAGGGCAAGGAGUCUGGGUUUCCAUUGGUUUAUUGUCAAAUCUUUGUAUUUCGGAGAAACAUCAUCCAAAUUUGUAUUUAGCCUCCGUUGCUUUAUGAAGGUAAAACUAAGGGCUGUUGGGUAUCCUAUUUGGAUCUAAUUUUAUAAAUUAAAAACAAAUUUUAAGUCUAAAACUUAAAAAACCUAUUUGGUAAGCCCAUUUUUAAAGACCCAAACCCAAAACAAACUCGAAAACACCCAAUUAUUGAAAACAAAAACAGUGAGGUUUUAUAAUUUUUUUUUCUUCUCUCUCUCUCUCUCUCUCUCUCUCUCGUCGGUUAGUGGUUCUGGGUCCAAAUCGUGUUUGCAGCUCCAUCAAGGUCUCCUUUGUCCACUACCCGACCCCAAAUUGAUUAAUCAUUUUUCAUGUUUUGGGUUUCUAGGAUUUCUAUUGAAAUCUCAUAGGUUUUUCUUUUUCUUUUGUUAAUUUCAAUUUGGAAAUUUAAGGUUUUUUUAAUUUUAAUUUUAAUUUUAUUUAGAUCUUAAAAAUAGUUUGGAGUUCAAUACCAAACAAGUUUUUAGAUCUUAAAAACACUAUUUGAAAACUCAUUUAAAAAAAAAAAAAAAAGAAUUAUAGUUUUUAAGUUUAUUGUUUUGAGUAGGAUAUCAAAUAUGGCCUAAGAUUCUCAACCCAAAAAAAAAAUAAAUUAUUGGUUGAGACUUACUUUUUCUUGCUGAACACAUGUAUCACGAGUCAAGGAUACCAAACAUGGCCUAAGAUUCUCAACCCAAAAAAAAAAAUGUAUUGGUUGAGACUUACUUUUUCUUGCUAAACACAUGUAUCACGAGUCAACCUGCUUUCUUUUUUUUUUUUUUUUAUUUUUUCUUCUUCUUCCUCUUUUCUAUUUUUUUAUUUAAUUUGUUUUUACUUUUUUUCUGUCCCCCUUUUUCUUUUGUGCAUUUACACGUUAUACAAACUGAUAUAAACUAUUUGAGACCAAAAAAAACAAACAAACAAACUCAAAUAAACAAUUCAUGCGCUCCACAGCUACAUGAUGAUAGAAUUGAAGCUUUUCAGUUCUUAACUUUACCUGAUCUUCAACUUUUUAUUACAUAUCGUACUAAUCUUUUUAAAAGCAAGACUUGUCUCUUUUUUCUGAGCUGUAAAAUAAGACAAUUUUGUUUGUGCAAUCUUUUGACGACACUUUUUGUUUUUGCUUUUUUUUUUUAAGGAUAUUUUUUAUUGAGAGGGGCGAUAGUAUACUAAACUCACACACACUAUACGGAUGAUAGGAUUCGAACCCAAAAUCUUUUCUUGGGAUGCUAAGACACUAUACAUCCUUAUCUUGAGCUCGUUUAUCAAUUUUGUACAUAAUUGAGUUAGUUUCUUGAUAUGUAAUCUUUUUAACAUUUUGCUUUAUAAUAUUUAAUUUGCCUCCCCGAGUAUAAAUGUCAAUUUACUCUUCAAUAUGAAGUUUAACUAAUUUAAUAUGAUUUUUUCGACUUCAAAUAAUUAAAUAUAACUGGGUGACGUGGAGUUGUUGGGCUAUGAUAUCAUAUGAUGCAAGUUGAGUUUCCAUCCCAAAAUCAAUUGGGAAUGGAGGGAGUGACCAAAAUCCUUAUAAGUCAAUUGUAACUUUUCAAUAUAGGACAUUUCUUCCCAUUCUCUUACAUAUACACAUAUACAUAUAUACUAUAGUAAUUAAAGAAUUAAAACUUGCUACUCUAGCUAGCAGCUUUCUCAAUUACACAUUUAGAGAUGAAUAAUAUGGCAAUGACAGACUACAGAGUUGAGCAUAUAUAUGAUAAAUAUGUAUAUAAUAGCUAGCAGCCUCAGCUCGUGAGCUAGCUGAAAUUCCUACUCAUCAAGCUACUCGUGAGUUUCUCGCUUUCUUAACAAAAACAUAUAGUUCUCUUUUAUUCCUCCGAUUUGUGAAUUUAAUUAAUCACAUGCAUACAAAUGGUUGGAAAUAUGAGUACUAAAUUGCUAUAAAAUAAACAAAAUAAAUACUGCACAUAAAACAGAUUUUUACAAAAAGGAGAAUUGAAUUAGAAGAACCUUAAUUGAGUCGAGGCAAGUGUUGGACACUCUGACCUUAAGACGAAUUACGCCCCACACUGGUGCUUAUGGUUCACUAGCGUUCGCCUCUCAGGAUACAAUGACUCCCCUCUUUAUGAAAGAAGCACUGCAAUUCACAAGAAACUUUGAACCAAAAUUAUGAAGGAACCUCUCUUUAUGAAAACUCUAAUGCUCUCUAUAUAUGAAAGUAUAAAUGUAGAGAAUUGAUUGAAUGAAUAAAACUGCAGGAGGAUUGCUCUAUUUAUAGAUGAUGAAAUACCCUUUCCAAAAAGGUAUCCCAAUCUGAAAAGGCAAACAAUGCAUCCAUUGGCCUGAAGAGUUGUCACACCAAACAAUGCAUCCCUUGGUUUAAAGAGUUGUCACCCCCCAUGUAAAGAUGUCUUUAACCCAAUGGUCAUGUCUUUAACCCAAUGAAUUUUAUUAAUUUCCAUUCAAAUAGGAAAAUUAAUAUUAGUUAAUAUUAAAUUUCCAACAAUCCCCCACAUGAAUGGAAAUUGACUCAACUAUAUGCAAACAAAAAAUAAAGACAUUAGAGAGAGUCCCUUAUUAGAAGAAUACUGCAUCUGAAUAGGUAGCUUUUGGCCUUGAACCUUCCAUAGUGGAAUACUAUUGGAUUUACUUGGCUAAUCAAUGAACGUGAUGUCUUGAACUGUUCAGCCGUUUGUGUAAACCCAGACAAUAGCACUCACACAAUACCCUUCUAAACAUAUCUAGUUCGAUUGGUUGUGCUCGUUUUGGCCCUGAGCAACUCCUGGCAUUCAUAAGUGCUUUAGAGAAUUUAGCCCUGAAAAUUCUCAUAGAAACGGCCUCAUUUCACACUCACAUAGGUGACUUCCUAUUAAGAGUAUCUUGCCACUACCCCACUCGGAUUUCCAAGCUAUAGGAAUCAUUAAAAUCAAAGAUUACCCUAAAACACGCUACAGGCAACACUGUUUCAUCAUAGGACAUGGGUAGGAGAUGUAAUCUCGGCAGUGCUACUCUUUAGUCAUCCAUAAUUUGGUUGUCCCUUUUGAACCUAGAUCUUGGGAUCUCCAGUCAGCUAGGUUGGGUAUCCACUAUGGAGACUUUAAAUAUUUAGGCUUAUACUCUCAUUCUCCUCGAUGAUCAACUAACUCUCUAGUCUGACCUUUAAAUAUUGGAUCCACUAGGUUGACUAUUUAUGUAAUAUAUUGCCAUCAUAAUUUCAUAUAUGGAAAUAUAUUCCAUUCAGGAGUAGUUGUACUACAUUGAGCAUUUAAUUUAUUUUGUUAAGACUUAAUAAUUGCUCCAACUGAGUAACCUUCUAAUACUCAGUUAGACACCCCCACAUUGUGGUACUUAUAGGAAGGUCUCUAACCUUCUCAUACCCAUAGAACAAAAUAUCGAUAAUUUCGCCGAUAUUUCGGCGAAAUUAUCGUUUUUUUGGGGCUACGAUAUUUUAGCACAUUUCCAUAUAUAUAUCGUCAAUUUAUCGAUAAUUUCCUCGAUAAUUUCGCCGAUAUUUCAAUAACGAUAUUUUCGUUCAAGUUGUAGCUUUAAAUGGACAAUAUAUCGCGAUAUUAUCGAUAAUAUCGCGAUAUGAACUUACAAAAUUAAACUCAGCCUUCAGAUGAACCCCUCAGCCUCUGAAACUCAGCCUUUCUCUGUCUCUCAACUCAGGAAAAAAAAAAAAGCAGAAAGAGGAGAGCGAGAGAGAAGGGAAGAAGAGGAAAAAAAAAAUUAUGGAGUGGGUUUUUAUGUUUUGCUAUUUUGGAUUGUGAUGAAGCGAUAGAGAAGAGGGAAGAGGAAGCAAGGAAAGAGACGGAGAGAUAGAAGAAGAAAGAAAAAAAAAAAAGCAGAUAGAGAAGAGCGAGAGAGAAAAGGGAAGAAGAGGGAAAAAAUGUGUGGAGUUGGUCUUUAUGUUUAAGUGUUUUGGAUUGUGAUGGAGGAGAGAGAAGAGGGAAGAUGAAGAAGAGAAAGAGACGGAGAGAGAUGGAGAGAUAGAAGAAGAAAGGGAGAGAGAGAGAGAGUGGGAGUGUGAAACGGAAGAGGAAGAAGAAUAAAUAAAAAAAAAUAAAAAGGGAGAGAUGGGUGAAUGCCCAAAAGAGAGAGAGAAGGCAGGUUGCAUGUAUCUGCAACCUUGGGAAGUUCAAACAAAAAAAAAGGUUAAAAAAACCUUGGGAAGUGGAAGAGGGAGGCAGGAAAACGUGAAAGUAAUUGGGAAGUGGGAAAUGUGACUUAAUUACUUAAUAUAAUUUAUUUUUUUUCUAUUUAAUUCAUUUAAUGUUAUUGAUUAUUUUAUUAUUCAUUAUAAGUACUUACAUUACUAAAUUCUCCUUCAAAUUGUUACUUAAUUACUUAAAUCUUUAUAAUCAUUUUCAUUAUUUGCUAUUUAAUUCUUCCUUGGAUAAAUUUAUUUAUGUUCUUAGUUAAUUUUUAAUCUUCACUAUUAUUUUUUAAGCCUGAUAAAGUGCCUAAUUUUCAUGAAAAAUCAAAUUGGUUUACAUCUUUAAUUAUUUUUUAAUUUUUGAUAAAUAAUAAAUAUAAGAACGUGUACCAUGUCCAAUGAAUAACGUGAAAUAAAUUGUUGCUUAAUUACUUAAAUUUCUAUAAUCAUUUUCAUUAUUUCCUAUUUAAUUCUUCACUGGAUAAAUUUAUUUAUGUUCUUAGUUAAUUUUCAAUCUUCACUAUUAAAGUGCCUAAUUUUCAUGACAAAUCAAGUUGGUUUACAUCUUUAAUUAUUUUUCAAUUUUUUAUAAAUUAAUAGAUAUAACAACGUGUACCAUGUCCAGUGAAUAACGUGAAAUAAGGUUACUCAUGUAUCUUAUCAUGCAAUUUAUAAAGAGUAAAAUAUUGUACUAAAAAAUGAUAAAUAAAUUACUAAGGAGUGUUUAAUUCUCUUUCAUUAAUUACUUCAGAUUUUCUAAGUCACAGAGUUUGUCAGGUCGCAAUAUAAUCAACUUAAAUCACACAAACCCACUAUGCAAUGCAUUUUCUUCCAAUUUUUUGUGUCAAAAUAAUAGAUGAUUGACUAAAUAAACUUCUUCUAAAGUUUCAUUAAAAAUUUCCAAGUAUUUAUCAUAAUUUCCGUGGUUUUUAUCCAAUUUUUAUCGAUAUCGAUAUUUUCCCGAUAUUUCCAUCGAUAUUUCCGUGUUUUUGAACCACCGAUAUUUCCGAAACUAUCGAUAUUUAAGACCUUGCUCAUACCUUAUUUAAGAGAAAUUUAAACUCUUGUGAACAUCAAAGCCUCUCUCCACAAAAACGUGGUGCUUAUGAACUAAUCUAGAAAACUUCCAUUUUCUCUGUUAGUAAAUAGAAUUCCAAAUUUUCCUUCAUGUCUGUCACCCCCACAAUUUUUACAUAAUUGUGGAAGGUAUUAAGCAAUCUGUUAAUCAUUUUUUCCAUAUGCCUAAGAAGUAGAAAACUUUUACUUUAUCCUUAAAGAAUGAGAUAAUAGUUCUAUAGUAUUAGUUUAUAAUUUCCUUUAAAUCAAUUUAAUGUUGCAUUAGUAAUAGAAUCAUGUUUAUAACAUAAUUAACAUGUUCUAGUUACCAUACCCUCAUUAAUUGAUUAAAGCAAAUCAUUAUAAAACUAAUUUUCCUUUAUAAAGUGCACAUCAAUUUAUACAUAGGGUAAGGCUUUGGUACCCUUUGUCCGUAUGCAUCUCAUUCUGUAGGUAGUACAAUGGAGAUAUUUAUUCUUAAAAUAUCUUCACUUCUUAGGCUCUUUGUAAUAGAACUACUAAUUAGCUUUCCCCCUUUGAAGCCUCAAAGUUUUCAUACCAAGUGCCUCACUCGAAAUACCUUGACUGGUUUCUAACCAUGACCAACAUGGUUGCUGGCAUGACCUAUGAUUGUUAACAUAGUCCUAUAUGGUUUCUCAUUUCUCAUACAGCCACACAAUUUACAAAACAAAAUUUUUGCAAAUUUCUGAACUGUAAACAAAUUGAUAUGUCUCGUAAUAGAGAGCAUGUGGGUUUGUACACUUUCCCGCAUAUCAAUUCUAUUGGAUUGCAGCAUGAAAAUGCCUCCUGGAAGAUAUCAAUGUUGGUUUGAAAAUGCUGCUAUAAUAGCACCUACUAACUUAAAAGAAUCUAACCAAAUGGGUUUGUAUAUCUCCAACAGCCCCAACACGUUGCAUGAACCUAAUAUUCUAUACAAAAUCAUAGAAUAUAUGUUUUGACAUAAAAUGGGUUGCCUUCACAAAAUUUUGUUUUGCCUAACACAGCAAAACUUCCAGAUUUCGAUGUCCAACAGAAACAAAUGCCAAACAAAAAAAUAAGAAAAAACGAUGCUAUAAUUCAGAGGGAAAUUUUCAAUUGUAUAUAUACUUUGUCUAACAAUAGAAAGAGAAUGCAAUCAGACUUUCUUUGUGGCAAUAUUGAUGAGUGGGUCCUAUUAUGAUAACUUAGAUGUCUGCAACUUUGAAUUGUAUAAAACAAAAAGAAACUGAAUGGAAAUCCAAUUAUUAAAAAAAAAAAUGUUUACCCAGAAGUAAUGAAACACUUGAAUGAAUAACCAAUUAAUUUUAACUCAAGUCAACAAUGCAGUGAAUCUGUAAUACGCAUCAAAAAUCAUUUUACACUUUUUCAUCUAAAUGCAUAAUAUCACAGACUAAUAUACAUAGCAAUUAACACAAAUUAAUUUGUCUUAAGAUUGUUGGAAAUAUGAGUGCUAAAUUGCUAUAAAAUAAACAAAAUAAAUACUGCACAUAAAACAUAUUUUUACAAAAGGAGAAUUGAAUUAGAAGAACCUUAUUUGAGUCGAGGCAAGUAUUGGACACACUGACCUUAAGAGGAAUUACGCCCCACACUGGUGCUUAUGGUUCACUAGCGUUCGCCUCUCAGGAUACAACGACUCCCCUCCUUAUGAAAGAAGCACUGCAAUUCACAAGGAACGUUGAACCGAAAUUAUGAAGGAACCUCUCUUAAUGAAAACUCUAAUGCUCUCUAUAUAUGAAAGUAUGUAUGUAGAGAAUUGAUUGAAUGAAUAAAACUGCAGGAGGAUUGCUCUAUUUGUAGAUGAUGAAAUACGCUUUCCAAAAAGGUAUCCCAAUCUGAAAAGGCAAACAAUGCAUCCCUUUGUCUGAAGAGUUGUUACACCAAACAAUGCAUGCCUUGGUUUAAAGAGUUGUCACCCCCCAUGUAAAGAUGUCUUUAACCCAAAGGUCAUGUCUUUAACCCAAUAAAUUUUAUUAAUUUCCAUUCAAAUAGGAUAAUUAAUAUUAAUUAAUAUUAAAUUUCCAACAAUGUGCACAAGAGAUAUCAUGACCAGAACAUACAUAUAGUGAGAUUCUUUAUGCCUGCCAUUUAUCCUUUAAUUAAUGAGACAUACCCUGGGGAAAGAGGAAAAGCUCAACCAACUGAGCUAUAUAGGUUUUGAAUAUCUACGCACAUGGGGGAGGUAGCGGAAGGGGGAAGUGGAAGAACUCAACCAACUGAGCUAUACCCCAUUGACAUAUGUAUAGUAGAGUUGACUGCUUGAAACCUAGAACCUAUAACAUAUAUUAAGAUUGUUCUAUACAAUCUUGGAACAAUCUUCGUGCGAAGGUAUUAUUCCAACAUUUAAGAUAAGUUCUUAUAAUUAAAGAGAAUGUCUCAAUUAAGAAAUAUUUAUGUUUAAGAUUAAGCCCCUAUUUUAUUCACAAAUAAUUAUUAAUAUUGGUUUCCAAUUUAACGAUAAUGAUCAGUGCCGCCCCCGGGAAAAGCAGCGUCAUGUAACCGUCUAGGAAAUCAUCAGUGCCAACCUCAAGGAAAAGGCAACCAUCCAGUACAUUGUAAACCUGGAGAAACCAGUAGAGCGUGCCACAGGUAUGGAGGUCAUGGACGUGGAGGAGAGCAAGACCCUAUCCAUAAAAGGCAUGGUCAUGAACAUGGAGGAGAGCAUGACCCAGACCACAAAGGCCAUGGUCAUGAACAUGGAGGCGUAGUGCUUGAACCCAUCCAUGGAGGGAAAGGCCACGGUCAAGAACGCGGAGGAGAGGGAGACCCUAACCAUGGAGCACAUUGUAAACGUGGAGAAACCAAUAGAGCGUGCUACGGCCAUGGAGGUCAUGAACGUGGAGGAGAGGGAGACCCCUUCAACCAUGGCAGCAAAAACAGACCAGGACAACCAGGCACCGCUGAGACCGAAAGAAAGAAUUAGAUAAAACCUAGGCCUGUGUACGUGUGUGGAAAAUUUGUUUGUCAAUAAAAUGGUCUAUUAUAUAUAUUGGUUGAGUAGUUGUGAACACACAGGCAAAAUCAGACCUACUAUAUAAGGUUUAUCUCUGUACUGUUACGUAAUGUAGUCUUGGAUCCUGCUUGUUAUAUGUA
rnacentral:lncRNA from 1 species